GGGACCAUGAUUUAAUGGUAGAAUAGCAGAUUACGAAUCUGUUUAUCCGAGUUCGAUUCUCGGUGGUCCUU
rnacentral:tRNA from 1 species